rnacentral:tRNA from 1 species
ACCGGUCCGGCGGGCAGGAGCCCCGGGCCUCGGUGCGCCCCGGGGACGCACCGAGGCCCGGGGGUUCUUCCCCUCGGCCGGUG